ensembl:misc_RNA 7SK 7SK RNA
GGAUCUGAGGGCAAUCUGGAGAUCUGCAAUGUCUGUCACCCCACUGGUUUCCAGGGCUGAUUCAGCUGACCUGCCUGGCUAGGUGGAUGUCCCCUUCCUUUCUCACUCCUUCAUGUGUGUCCCUCCUGAAGCUGCAUGCUCAAUUGAAGAUGGUAGCAAUGCCCAACAAAAGGCAUGCUCCCCUGCUAGAACCUCCAACCAAGUUCUCAAGAUCAAUUGGAGUUCUCAUACUCUAUCAGUAUGAGAAGAAAUGGUGAGAUGUGUACAGUGUUUAAAAAUUAUUUCUAAUCAUUAUUU